UACGUAGGGUGCUAGCGUUGUUCGGAAUCAUUGGGCGUAAAGCGCGUGUAGGCGGUUAGUAAAGUCGGGUGUGAAAUCCCUGGGCUCAACCGAGGAAGUGCAUCCGAAACUAACUAGCUAGAGAGUGGUAGAGGGAGGUGGAAUUCCGUGUGUAGAGGUGAAAUUCGUAGAUAUACGGAGGAAUACCGGUGGCGAAGGCGGCGCACUGGACCACAACUGGCGCUGAGGCGCGAAAGCUAGGGGAGCAAACAGG
rnacentral:rRNA from 1 species